CUACGGGAGGCAGCAGUAGGGAAUAUUGCUCAAUGGGGGAAACCCUGAAGCAGCAACGCCGCGUGGAGGACGAAGGUUUUCGGAUUGUAAACUCCUUUUGUUAGAGAAGAUAAUGACGGUAUCUAACGAAUAAGCACCGGCUAACUCCGUGCCAGCAGCCGCGGUAAUACGGAGGGUGCAAGCGUUACUCGGAAUCACUGGGCGUAAAGAGCGCGUAGGCGGGAUAGCAAGUCAGAUGUGAAAUCCUAUGGCUUAACCAUAGAACUGCAUUUGAAACUGUCAUUCUAGAGUAUGGGAGAGGUAGG
rnacentral:rRNA from 1 species